CGGGUGAUGUUUCCGGCGAAGGCAUCUUUGCCACCGGUCACGCGGAUAACCAUGACGGGGACGACAGAUUAAAUUUCGAAUUAACUCUGUUUCAGGUUAUCAAGUUCCGAUCGAGAUGCAAUACCAAAUCAAAAACGUAUUCUCUGAGUCAUUUUGAGUCCGGCGUUUCGUGACCAAAGGGUCAAGUGGAAAAUUUCACCGUUGGCCCGUUACUGGUGGCCCCGGCACCAGCUGCAGUAUCAUUGGCAUAGAAUACGACGUUCAGGUGGAAGCCGAAGGACUUAGUGUGGCAUUCGAUGUACUCAUUGGUACCGUGCCUCACCAAAUAGCGGGGUGCCUUCCGCCGCUGCCACUGCGCCGCCCACAGGUUUCGAAGGAAUGGAACUGUCUGGAUUCAACACCGUUCCCUCAAGUGAGGUUAUCGGUAUUCCUGGAACACAUUUAUUGCCAUUUGAGGCAUUGGUUCCUGUGUCAAUUAUCGCUCUAAAUGUUCCAUUACAGUCAUUGGAAGUCUCCACGAAAUCGAUAACGCGUGAUUACAGUUACUCUCCAAAGCAGUUAGAGCUCUGAAUUGUCUUUCACGAAUAUACUCCUAUUUUCUUGGAGUGCUAUGUUCAUAGCCCCGCCACCGGAUGCGCCCCCUCCCCGGUACGAGGAAGCGGUUGGCGUGAUAGACCGACUGGCUGGAGAGAGGAGCCCAGAAGAUUACUUCGGUGGCAACCAGUUUGUUCCUUGCUAUCCCUACUUUAAUCUGAAUGUUGACGCACCUCCUGUUCAUCAGUAAGGAACAGAAAAGGAAAGAAGACAAAAAGUACAAUUUUGUUACACUUCAAGAAAUGUUUCAAACUCAUCUUAUUUUUGUAUAUUAUCCACCCUAGGUAAAUCAUGCUUGUUAUGUUUGUUUUACCAUGUCUUAGACUUACUUCAAUUAUUCGCUAUACUCGUCAUCAAAGUUUCACGUGUCACUGAUAAAUCUUCUUAACAUUAACAUUAAGCGCCAUCUUGGAUUCCACGGGCAAUGCUCACACAAGUAUAAUUCUCUAGGGUUUUGUGAAGCGCAUGCGCACUAAACAGUUACAUGGGUAGCUAGGCCAGGUGACAGUUGAAUAAGCCGGCAUGGUUGACCUUUACUUGAAAAAGAGAAAAAAAAUAGGGACAUGCACGUGUGAUGGCGAAUGAACAAUGAUAUUUCGACUGUUGGUUGAGACUGUGCAUGGUAUUGGUGGUGGAGAGGAACGUAUAACAAAUUCACUGUGGACAACUUUUGGCCCGAAAGACCUUCAGGUACCCUGUUCCGUUUAUUCCCAGAGCCAACACGCAUUUUCUUUCCACAAUGGCUACCUCUGUUGGGUAAAACACUGCCUACGUGUCCUUGUCUUCAUUUGGCUUGCGUUGAGUAUACAUUGAAGAAUUUUUAUAAAUCUACAGUGUAUUUGCAUAUUAAUAUAGUGCCACGCCCAUGGCGUGAAUGGCGUUAGAUGUCGCCCUGGCCACGUAAAUUUGUUUUCAUUUGAGGGCCAGGGGCAAUUAUCAUAUAUGGGCGUGGUUAACUGCAAGCUCGAUCACUUUAGUGGACACUUAGAAACUUUAGUUAGAAAGUACAUAAACACGAACACAUGAAAACAUUCUCUUACUGACUAAUCCCUCAGUAAUUGCAUAGGCCUACAUGUAGACUGAGCCCUUGCCUUGCUGCUUACAAGUCAAGCGCUCUUCUGGCUGAGCUGCCGUGCAACUGGCCGAGUAAGCAAUUUCGGUUGUGUUAUGCUUAACGUUUGUCCACCGCAUUUAGCCUAUGAUAAUUGCUCCCAACCUUCUUACGACCCUCGUAGGAAAAAAUGAGUCCUGGCCUAUUUGCCAUUGUUUAGGGGGCACUUGUGUACCACACACGUAUUGAAUGUAUGAUACGUUUGUUCUUUGAGCUUAAUGAGUGGCAGAUGAGCUAGUGCCAACUUCACUUUUCAUGCUUGUGUUUUCAUGUGUGUUACCUAACCCCAAGCUGGCCAGAAUGGAAUAGGUAGUUGCUUAGAACUGGUUCAAAAUUCAGGCAUUGUAGCGGUUUGUGCAAUAGCAGCUUGUCAUGCGUGUUUCUCUCCACAAUACGUCAAUUCUAUAAUAUCGUAGUAGUUAUAGUUCAUUGAUCAAACUUGUCUCGAGCAAGAUUGGAAGGUUUGCAUAGUUGACAUAGUAAUCGUGGGAGGUUUGCAUAGUUAACAUAGUAAUCGUGGGAGGUUUGCAUAGUUGACAUAGUAAUCGUGGGAGGUUUGCAUAGUUAACAGUAAUCGUGGGAAGUUUGCAUAGUUAACAUAGUAAUCGUGGGAGGUUUGCAUAGUUGACAUAGUAAUCGUGGGAGGUUUG
rnacentral:lncRNA from 1 species